UGGUCUCGAGCUCCUGACGUCGUGAUCCGCCAGACUCAGCCUCCCAAAGUGCUGGGAUUACAGGCGUGAGCCACCGGCACCUUGUGAUAUAUCUUAACUACUUCAGAUUAUGUUUGAAUGAAAUUACUUUUUUUCCUUCAAAAUUUGAAGACUCUCAUCCAUUCACCAGUUUCCAAUGUUGGUGCAUAAGAAUAUGAGACAAGCAGCCACUGGCCCCUAAUGAGGAGAUUCAUGAAGACCUUAACCCAGCCUUCAGUCUGGAGCCUCCUUGAGCCUAGAUGGGCUAAGCUGAACCCCAGCCAACCUGCAGGCUCACAAGUAUGAAAAAUAAAUGUUUGUGAUGGUAAGCCAGUGAGAGUUGGGACUAUUACCCAGCCUUAUUGCAAUGGAAGCCUUGUUCAUACAGCGUUCCAGAGAGGACUUCUAUAAUCUCCUGCCUCAGACAUAAUUAAGGUAAGGAUCAAGACGAGAUCACACUGGAAAAGGUGGGCCCUAAAUCCAGUGAGAGGAUAGGAAGGCCAGCACUCUUAUUCUGUCCUAAUAAGAGACAGAGACGGGCACACAGAGACACAGAAGAAGGCCAUGUGUUGAUGGAGGCAGAGACUGGAGUGAUGCCGUCCCAAGCCAGGGAGUGCCUGGCUCCGCCAGGCACUGGAAGAGGCACUGAAUGGAUGCUUCUCGAGAGCCUUUGGAGGGAGCAUGACCCUGCUGACACCUUGAUUUUGCACUUCUGGCUUCUGGAACUAUGAGAGGGAGUCCUCUGUGGUAAACUGGUGGAGUCCAAAGCAAUUGUGUUUGACAAAUAAAACCGAAUGAUCUGGGUGAUGAAAACGUAAUAGCAAAAGACCAAUCCUGAAGAAUCCUCAGGGCCCGGGUGAGGAGGGAGGUGAAGCUCCAGCUCUGCUGUACCUAAAGUCUGACAAAUAAAAGUCCUGAGAAUGGAGGAGGUCUGG
rnacentral:lncRNA from 10 species